AGAAAAGCGUGGUGUCGGUUGAAUUAAUUCGGAUUACGUUGUGCUUUUUUUCUGAUAUCGUGAUAAAAACAAAAACUUCCUUAACGUUGUAUUCAUUAUCAGUUGAUUUGUGGAGUUCACAAUCAAUUACAAAUAGAUACUGUGUUUAAUUUGUGGACCAAAAACUCCUCGUUCCGAGUAUCAAAACAUCAGGAUUUUCCAGAUAAUAAUUACGAAAUUGACGCAAACAACUCAAGAGACUUCUUGGAGUUGAGUUUCCAUUUGCCUCCAUUCAGAACCGUGUUACUUCUGGAUUCAGAAGAUAAAGACGAAAUACUACAAGUAUCAGAAGAAGUGUUGCCUCAAUAACGAUCUCAAUCUUGUAAAUGACUGAUCCGCUACCAGACAUAUAUAUGGUCAAAGAAAAAUAAGAUUAAGAAAGAAGCAUCUACUUGAAGUCACAUGCCGCACGGAGGAAGAAAUUUGGAAACACCUUCAUUAUUAGAAACAUCCAAGUAUGCAGCAACAGGAGAAAUCAAGGAAACAGAAGAACAAUCAAGAAUCAAAUACAAAACACAUAUAUUUUCAUAUAAUAGGUACAAUUCAAAAGUGUAAAUAUAAAUCGGUACACAGAAUUUAUAAUAAAUAAUUAGUCUUCCUG